GCAAACUUGGUCAUUUAGAGGAAGUAAAAGUCGUAACAAGGUUUCCGUAGGUGAACCUGCGGAAGGAUCAUUAUUGAAUACCACUUGAUAGGUUGUAGCUGGCUCUUUGGAGCAUGUGCACGCCUGUCUUGGACUCUAUUCAUCCACCUGUGCACUAUUUGUAGUCUUUGGAGAAUGAGAUGAAACAGUUUACCAGUCGGUUGACAGAUCGGAAUAGAGGAAUGCUUGAGCACUUGGUGUAUAGGCUCUCCUUAAUCAACUGUGAAAUCUCCCUCCAGAGUCUAUGUAUUGAUUCAUAAACAAAGUAUGUUAUUGAAUGUAUUCAUUGGGCUUAUAAUGCCUAUAAAAUAUUAUACAACUUUCAGCAACGGAUCUCUUGGCUCUCGCAUCGAUGAAGAACGCAGC
rnacentral:misc_RNA from 1 species